UACAGAGGUCCCGAGCGUUGUUCGGAUUUAUUGGGCGUAAAGGGUGCGUAGGUGGCAAAGUAAGUUGGAUGUGAAAUCCUGGGGCUCAACCUCAGAAUUGCAUUCAAUACUGCUUAGCUAGAGAGCUGUAGAGGAGACUGGAAUUUACGGUGUAGCAGUGAAAUGCGUAGAUAUCGUAAGGAACGCCAGUGGCGAAAGCGGCUUCCUGGACCAGCACCGACGUUCAGGCACGAAAGCGUGGGGAGCAAACAGG
rnacentral:rRNA from 1 species